UCCUCCCGAAGCUGCCGGAGCCUGACUGCGGCUGCGUCACUCCUUAGCGAACAGCAAAGAUUAACGUUAAGGCUAAUGUUAAGCGAAAUGGAUGGCUAAUUUACCGAGUGACCGGAUGCUGGCGUCUUCAAACACAGCAGGCAUACAUGAAGUUUUUAGAAACGCUGCUCAGGAGUGAACGCGUCGAGAAACCACCCGCUGAGUGCUGAGGCUGUGUUAGUUGGCAAGCUGUGAAGCGCAGCCCAGGAGAAAUGCGCGGUGGUCCCAGAAGGAGCGUUUAACUCACCUGUACGAGUGCUUCCCAGGUGAAUGUUUCUGCCUUUUAUUUGAUAUAUUUCCUCGGAUGGGUUUCAGAGCAUAGCCACAUCAUCACACAUUCCGGAAACAAAAGUUGCUCUGCGGUGAUUGGCCAGUCACGAUCUGCGCAUGCGAGGGACUGUCUGCAAAUUCCCACACGGUCAGGAUCACGACUUCCUCCCAGGGAGCAUCUACAUGACAUAUAUGUUUACAAAACGAAAAAUGAGCCAAAAAUAACUUGCAUCUGGAAUAAUACAGGCAACAUUAUAAAAAUGGGAGUGCAUGAACAAAGAGUCAAUCUGAUCAUCAACCACUGCAGACAGCUGGGGAGGAGUCUGCUGCUGCUUGCCCACUACACCACAGUGUUUGUGGCCUUUCUGGGUCGCACUGUGCUGUGGGUGGUGGAGGCAAUGAGGUGGACCACACUGUUUGCACGCUACACAGUGUCAGUGUUUGACUCCGUCUACAGACAUCUGCUCUGGUGGAGGAGGAGAGGUGCCAGGGAGAUCUGCCCGGGCCCUGCCACGGAGCCGGAGUGACCUCACUGACUUACACCAUGGUUUUAUCUAACAGCAUCAUCCUGGAAGCCAAAUCAAGACAGCAGCAAAGUGGGCCCACACUGGAGCCUGUCUUGAAUCUGAUGGAAGAGGAAGGGACUUAAUGGUGUUGACUGCACUUGGCAUUGAAUGUGAGGACUUAAAAAAAAGAAAAGAAAAUGAUGAGGAAAGGCAUGGAGGCCUUACUGAAGUUCACUGUUUUUAACUUUUUAUUUUUUCUAACACAGCCAUCAAACUGUGACAUAGUAUUUUCUUGUGCUAUAUAAUCUUAUAUUUUAAAGUCUUGUUUCCUUUUGGCUAUCACAUAACUGUGAUUUCCAUUUAGUGAUAUAGUCAUUAUGUAGCCUCUGUCAAGAAAGCUAUUCCAAAAAAAGAAAGAAAGAAAGAAACUAAAUGUGAAAAUGCCUGAUACUGCCAUGCAUCACUCAUACCAGGUUAUAUGACUGUUGAUGCAAAUGUGUUACUUUGAUAACGCAAACUAGAGCAGAUGUGUUCAAGUAUAGAGAAGCCUUUUCAGCUUUAAUCUCUUGCACUACAGUAGUGGUUAUUUUUAAUGGAAGGCUACAUGAAGAAUUCACCAUGCCAUUAGGAGCCAAAUUUAUUUCUUUAUUUUUACAUUUGUAUCCAGUAUGAAGGUUAUUUCUCGUUUUAUUUCAGGUUAAUCCUAUAAAAUCCAUACAUACAAGUGCUUAACAGAAUAUUCCACCUUGGUGCAGCAUUUGGAGUUUUUGGCAAACAGCCCAGUUACCUGUGUUGAUGUCAUGUUAUGUGAUGUUAUGUUGCCUGCUAGUCUAAAAGUCAUGUUCCUGGUUCUAACACAUGGCAACUAAAGCAGGAUGGAUGUAAUAACAUGACUUUUACUGUGUCCUUUCUCAAACACUAAUUUUGCCAGUGUGCAAUUAUCCGUAUGAAGAGUCAGAAAUGAACUACAUUGCUAAAUAAUGCUUUUUUAACAUUAUGUUCCAGGGGCAGCAAAUAUUUGAGGGUGAUAGUUUAUGGAAUGUAGAGGUGAAACCGUAGAAAAGAUAAAAACACACUAUAAGGUGAAAUAUUGCCUUAAAAUGAUCAGCAACUGCAUAGCAUGUAGUUAUGUUUUUUUAUUAUUUACUUUUGUAUUUGAAAAUAUUUUUACUUGUAUUUUUGUAGUGUCAUUUAAAAAUGUAAACAUAACACUAACUCGUUUAAUUUUCAUUUACUAUUUUUGUCUGGCAUGUGAGUGUUCUUGUCUUUAGGUGAAUAUGGAAGACAACUGAGUUGUGAGAAUGCACUGUUGGAAGACAUCUACACUCAUAGCUACUAAAUACAGCACUACUUACAAAUAUGGUUAUAGUAUGUAUGGUAUAAUAACAAACUGACUGUAGGAAGUGGGACUCCAUGUCAUUCAAGAUGCUUUACAGAUGGUUGUGGUAUUCUCAUCCUUAUUUGUGGUCAUGGCAUUGAGAUUUGAAAGCUUUCUGCAGGUGUAUUGAUUUGAAUUUGAUCCAGUGAUUUAACACUGUAAUGGCUGUUCAGUUGUUCAGUUACUGUAUAUACCACUCAGUGACUCAUGCUGUCUUGGCUUAGGACUGUGGUAUCUAAAUAAAUCCCACUACCAAAUAAAUUUUUUAUAAUCCUGUU